rnacentral:tRNA from 1 species
GGAGGUGUUUGGGGUCCUGGUGGUUCUCCCGGUCUUCAAAAUCGGUGAGACCGAGUAACUCGGUCUGGCAGGUUCGUUUCCUGUCCGCCUCUG